UAACUGUCUUCAAAUAUUUGAAGGAAGGGCUGACAUAUGGAAAAUGGAAGAAAGAUUAAGUUUUUUUUCCUGUGUGGUCCCAAGGGAUAGAAUUAGAACUAGUGGGUGGAAAUUACAGAGAGACAGAUUUGUACUCACUCUGAGAGAGAACUUUCCUCACAGUCAGAACUGUGAGGAUGGAGUGGGCAGUCUCAAAAAGCAGCAACAUGUCCCAGACAUAGUAGUGUUGAACAGGGAUGAAAGAUCCUGGACUUGUUUAGAGGGGAGCUAAGCUUUGGCUAGGUUUAAAUGAGCCUUAGGCCCUUGUCAACCCUGAGAUGGAGUGAUUUUGUAUGCACGGACCUCUGUUAUUAGCAUUUGGAUAUGAACACUAUGAAAGAUAGCCCCUGCCUUAGGGAAUUAAACUUUGACUCCAUAGUUGCUUUAUUGUUUUAUUGUCUCCUUUUCAAUACUGUAGCAAACAUGAGGUCAAACAGAGAUUCAAAAAGAGUUGUAGAUUUAGGAACUUACUGCUAAGACAAUGACUCACUUCUAUUUGGUAAAGUUCUUGUGUAUUAAUUAUAUUUUAAUGUAUUUUUUUUUAAAUUUUUUUUAAGAGAGAGAGAUUUUUAAUAUUUAUUUUUUAGUUUUCGGCAGACACAACAUCUUUGUUUGUAUGUGGUGCUGAGGAUCGAACCCGGGCCACACGCAUGCCAGGCGAGCGCGCUACCGCUUGAGCCUCAUCCCCAACCCCAAUAUUUUAAUGUAUUUUUAAUGACUUUCAUUCAGGUGAAGAAAAAAGUCAGACUUUUUAAAAUAAAAUACAUGUAAUUCCUAAAAAUUUAUGUGGAAAGGAGUUUGAAAAUUCAAUUCUACAGUUUUCCAGAUAGGAGACAAUUUUUUUGGAAUUCAGUAG
rnacentral:lncRNA from 1 species